GACAGAGGGUGCAAACGUUGUUCGGAAUUACUGGGCGUAAAGCGCGUGUAGGCGGCCCUGCAAGUCGGAUGUGAAAUCCCACGGCUCAACCGUGGAAGUGCAUUCGAAACUGCAGGGCUAGAGUCCUGGAGAGGAAGGUGGAAUGCUUGGUGUGAGAGGUGAAAUUCGUAGAUAUCAAGCGGAAACACCGGUGGCGAAGGCG
rnacentral:rRNA from 1 species